rnacentral:lncRNA from 1 species
AGCAAUGAGAGAUAAGGUCAAGGAAAGUGAAAAGUUUUGUAACUUUUUUUUUUAAAGAAAGCUUCAAGCAAAAAUGAGAAAGGAUUUUGUUAUUUUAGUUUUUUUUUGUUUUUUACAGGCCACAUGUCAAUACACCAAUGGGUACUUGUAAGACCCCAAUUUUGACCCUAAGAUCCCUCAUGCUAUCUCAUCAUAUGCAUUAGCAUUGGGAUCAUAC